GAGAGUGGGUAGUCCGCACGAGCGCACCUCACUUUUAGUUGCCAUCAUUAAGUUGGGCACUCUGAAAGAACUGCCAGUGAUAAGCUGGAGGAAGGUGGGGAUGACGUCAAGUCCUCAUGGCCCUUACGUGUUGGGCUACACACGUGCUACAAUGGUAUCUACAACAGGAAGCAAAACGGCAACGUUAAGCAAAUCCCGAAAAGAUACCUCAGUUCGGAUUGCACUCUGCAACUCGAGUGCAUGAAGCUGGAAUUACUAGUAAUCGUGGAUCAGCGUGCCACGGUGAAUGCGUUCCCGGGUCUUGUACACACCGCCCGUCACACCAUGGGAGUUGGUUCUACCUUAAAGCAAGGUUUUAAACCCUUGACCACGGUAUAGUCAGCGACUGGGGUGAAGUCGUAACAAGGUAGCCGUAGGGGAACCUGCGGCUGGAUUACCUCCUUUCU
rnacentral:rRNA from 1 species